CAGCAGCCGCGGUAAAACGGAGGGGGCUAGCGUUGUUCGGAAUUACUGGGCGUAAAGCGCACGUAGGCGGCUUGGUAAGUUAGAGGUGAAAGCCUGGAGCUCAACUCCAGAAUUGCCUUUAAGACUGCCGAGCUAGCAGGUGAGAGAGGUAAGUGGAAUUCCGAGUGUAGAGGUGAAAUUCGUAGAUAUUCGGAAGAACACCAGUGGCGAAGGCGACUAUCUGGGCCAACACUGACACUGAGACACGAAAGCGUGGGGAGCAGACAGGAUUAGAUACCCGGGUAGUCCCUGUCUCUUAUAC
rnacentral:rRNA from 1 species